GGGUACGGGCAGGCUAGAGUGUGGUARGGGAGACUGGAAYUCCUGGKGUAGCGGUGAUAUGCGCARAUAUCAGGAARAACACCGAUGGCGAAGGCAGGUCUCUGGGYCAUUACUGACACUGAGAAGCGAAAGCAUGGGGAGCGAACAGGAUUAGAUACCCUGGUAGUCCAUGCCGUAAACGUUGGGCACUAGGUGUGGGGAACAUUCCACGUUUUCCGCGCCGUAGCUAACGCAU
rnacentral:rRNA from 1 species